rnacentral:rRNA from 1 species
UACGUAGGGCGCAAGCGUUGUCCGGAAUUAUUGGGCGUAAAGAGCUCGUAGGCGGUUUGUCGCGUCUGCCGUGAAAACCCGAGGCUUAACCUCGUGGCUUGCGGUGGAUACGGGCAGACUAGAGGUAGGUAGGGGAGAAUGGAAUUCCCGGUGUAGCGGUGAAAUGCGCAGAUAUCGGGAGGAACACCGGUGGCGAAGGCGGUUCUCUGGGCCUUACUUGACGCUGAGGAGCGAAAGCGUGGGGAGCGAACAGG